rnacentral:rRNA from 1 species
GAGCAAACAGGAUUAGAUACCCUGGUAGUCCACGCCGUAAACGAUGUCUACUUGGAGGUUGUGCCCUUGAGGCGUGGCUUCCGGAGCUAACGCGUUAAGUAGACCGCCUGGGGAGUACGGCCGCAAGGUUAAAACUCAAAUGAAUUGACGGGGGCCCGCACAAGCGGUGGAGCAUGUGGUUUAAUUCGAUGCAACGCGAAGAACCUUACCUGGUCUUGACAUCCACAGAAGAAUCCAGAGAUGGAUUUGUGCCUUCGGGAACUGUGAGACAGGUGCUGCAUGGCUGUCGUCAGCUCGUGUUGUGAAAUGUUGGGUUAAGUCCCGCAACGAGCGCAACCCUUAU